UGGGGAAUCUUCCGCAAUGGACGAAAGUCUGACGGAGCAACGCCGCGUGAGUGAUGAAGGUCUUCGGAUUGUAAAACUCUGUUGUUAGGGACGAAUGCACCGUGUUCGAACAGGUCAUGGUGUUGACGGUACCUAACGAGGAAGCCACGGCUAACUACGUGCCAGCAGCCGCGGUAAUACGUAGGUGGCAAGCGUUGUCCGGAAUUAUUGGGCGUAAAGAGCAUGUAGGCGGGCUUUUAAGUCUGACGUGAAAAUGCGGGGCUUAACCCCGUAUGGCGUUGGAUACUGGAAGUCUUGAGUGCAGGAGAGGAAAGGGGAAUUCCCAGUGUAGCGGUGAAAUGCGUAGAUAUUGGGAGGAACACCAGUGGCGAAGGCGCCUUUCUGGACUGUGUCUGACGCUGAGAUGCGAAAGCCAGGGUAGCAAACG
rnacentral:rRNA from 1 species